rnacentral:lncRNA from 1 species
AUAUUUAAAAGAAUAAUCUUCAUAGCAAAAACCGCUUUGCUAACGUAACCAAACGCACGAUCAGUUGGUGAGAGAUAAGAUGACGGGAGAGCGAAAACGUGUUAAAGAGCAAAAUAUCACAGAUAAGCGAGAGAAAGAGAGAGAGAGAGUCAGCGGUUUGUACGGCGUGCUCAGCGUUUACUUACUUGUUCUUCGAGAUGCACUAAAUUUAUCUUUAGCAGGUCAAUGAACUUCGCCGUAUCAAGCAAUCUUGCCACGUUGUGAGAAAGAAAUGUUUAUUCGGGAUCUGCCUCAAAUAAUACCGCAUUCCUACAUCCAAUAUCACAACCAAAUUUGAUAGCAAAUAUCUUUACCAAAGCCAGUUUGAGAUUUAUUUAGGGUAAAGGUUUUUUAGUUUAUAGUAGAAAAGUGUUUAUUUAGUAUCUUUUUCAAAUAAAAGUAUUAAAAUUUUUUACAAAACUUCUAACGAUGUAGAAAAUUACUGUGAUUAAAUAUCUUUAAUUAUAAUCGGAUAUGUUGUUGUUUACAAAAUUGUAUUCGAGUUUUUUUCUUAAAGCAAUUCCUUAUUUGAGAAUUUUGAUUUAUAAAAAUUUGCUGAUUUAAUUGAAAUGAAAGGUUUUCUCUACUUCGAAAAUUCAAUUUCGUUAUUAUUUCUAACAUAAAAUUACACUAUCUAAUCUAGUUCCUAAAAGGUUUUAACAUUUUGUUGUUACCUAGUCUAAACAUUGUAAAGGUCUGCUUAAGUAGGUACCGGAAUUCGAUUUUAUUCGAUAUCUCAAAGUAUAAUAUUCCAAAACCAACUAAUGUUAAAUGUAAACAGAAACUAUAAAAACUGUCUGAUCAUAAAGCUCUUAACCACAAAAACACGUUAUACAUUGAAACAAUAAGUAUUCAUAAAAAAUUAAAAUUUUAAAGAAUCAAAAGCUUAAUACCUUUAGUGUCAUAAUCUAUAUACAAC